rnacentral:rRNA from 1 species
UACGUAGGGUGCAAGCGUUGUCCGGAAUUAUUGGGCGUAAAGGGCUCGUAGGCGGUCUGUCACGUCGGGAGUGAAAACUCGGGGCUUAACCCCGAGCCUGCUUCCGAUACGGGCAGACUAGAGGUAUGCAGGGGAGAAUGGAAUUCCUGGUGUAGCGGUGAAAUGCGCAGAUAUCAGGAGGAACACCGGUGGCGAAGGCGGUUCUCUGGGCAUUACCUGACGCUGAGGAGCGAAAGCCAAGGGAGCAAACAGG